AGUGAACGCUGGCGGUAGGCCUAACACAUGCAAGUCGAACGGCAGCACAGUAAGAGCUUGCUCUUACGGGUGGCGAGUGGCGGACGGGUGAGGAAUACAUCGGAAUCUACUUUUUCGUGGGGGAUAACGGAGGGAAACUUACGCUAAUACCGCAUACGACCUACGGGUGAAAGCAGGGGAUCUUCGGACCUUGCGCGAUUGAAUGAGCCGAUUUCGGAUUAGCUAGUUGGCUGGGUAAAGGCCCACCAAGGCGACGAUCCGUAGCGGGUCUGAGAGGAUGAUCGGCCACACUGGAACUGAGACACGGUCCAGACUCCUACGGGAGGCAGCAGUGGGGAAUAUUGGACAAUGGGCGAAAGCCUGAUCCAGCCACACCGCGUGGGUGAAGAAGGCCUUCGGGUUGUAAAGCCCUUUUGUUGGGAAAGAAAAGCAGCAGGUUAAUACCCGGCUGUUCUGACGGUACCCAAAGAAUAAGCACCGGCUAACUUCGUG
rnacentral:rRNA from 1 species